rnacentral:rRNA from 1 species
GAUGAACGCUAGCGGCAGGCCUAAUACAUGCAAGUCGAGGGGCAGCACGGUAGCAAUACUGGUGGCGACCGGCGCACGGGUGCGUAACACGUAUGCAACCUGCCUUCAACUGGGAGAUAGCCCGGGGAAACUCGGAUUAAUACCCCAUAACACAGUGAAACAGCAUUGUUUAUGUUAAAGCUUUGGCGGUUGAAGAUGGGCAUGCGUUCGAUUAGCUAGUUGGUGUAGGUAAUGGCUCACCAAGGCUACGAUCGAUAGGGGGUCUGAGAGGAUGAUCCCCACACUGGUACUGAGAUACGGACCAGACUCCUACGGGAGGCAGCAGUAGGGAAUAUGGUCAAUGGACGCAA